rnacentral:lncRNA from 1 species
AGAGGGGUUUAGCCACUCAUAUUUACAACAAAAUGAAAGGAAGUGAAUUUAAACAUUAGAAACAAAAAAAAGAAAACACCUAAACGCUCCAACGAUCCAAGUUGGAUAGCAAGCACGUCCAAGCACUUUCCUUCCCUUCCUUUGCUACGGCACAAGGUGUUGGUGAGUGUUUGAAGGUUUGUUUAUAUGGAGGAAUGGCUGAAUGUGUUUAGGUUGGAUGGAGGUCAUGGCAAGGAAAGGGAAAUGAAGGUGCAUGGAAUUGUGUUUUUGUUGUGGGAAUGUGUAGAAUGGUUAAGAAGAAAAGACUCUGCCUUGCGGCAGAAUGUGUCUUCCUCCCUUCUCCCUAAACUGUCCCCCUAAAUGUGUCUUUGGAUGGAUAUAUUUAUAGGCUAGGGAGAGGAUGUAGUGGGUGGUGGUAUUGAGUGGAUGUAGUGGUAUGUGAAUGUGUUGGGUGGUUGAAAUGAGUGGAUGUGUUGGGUGAAAUGAGUGGAUGUAGUGGUAGGUGAAUGUGUUGGGUGGUUGUAAUGAGUGGAUGUGUUAGGUGAAAUGAGUGGAUGUAGUGGUAGGUGAAUGGAUGUGUUGGGUGAAAUGAGUGGAUGUAGUGGGUGGUGAAUGUGUUGGGUGGUUGUAAUGAGUGGAUGUGUUGGGUGAAAUGAGUGUGCUAAAAUGGUUAUUUAUAGGGAGAGGAUGAUGCACAAACUUCAAAUUUCGUCCAUUCCUUUUGCUCCAAGCAUAUGUUAUCCAUUCCAUGCCCAAAAAUGCUCCAAAAUGCACUUCUUUGCCACAUUAACCCUUUGGACCUACAAACACACGAAAAUAGCUUAAAAUACUAAAAUAAAUAUGAACUAACAACAUAAAUGCCAAGAAACAAGCUAACUAAGUCGCAUAAAUAUGCUCCUAUCAAAUUCCCCCACACUUAGCUUUUGCUAGUCCUCGAGCAAAACAAAAGAAACAAAACAAAACACAACCUAGACUUUCAAACAAUUGCCUCAGGGAUUUUUAAUAAAACAUGACGUGUUAAAAAUCAUCAUUCCCACAGAUUUUGGUCAUCCUUACACUUAAGCCCAUACUUAAUCACAGUCACCACUUACUAGUUCACAAUUAACCAAUUAAAAUGAUGUUUUGAAUGUAGUAACAUGCCUUAGAGAAUUUGCUCAAUUCCUUACAAGAUACUCUCUAUUUUCACACACAUUUUCUAACUACAACCCUACACUACUAUAUGUGAGAAGAUUCAUGUAAACAUGAAACAUUAGGACUCACAUAUGUUAUAACAAAGAAAGCAAUUUUCUGGAGUUAUUAAGCAUGUUUAGAUAUGAUUUCAUGAAUGGAAUGCUACUACUUAGAUGCGAGAACCAGUGACACCAUAUGCUCAUUGUUGGAAAUGUGCCUUAAAACCAAUCAUAUGAUGAUACUUUACGGACAUUUCACAUGUUAAACUAAUGUAGUUUAAUAUCAAGGGCAAAGAUUAUUGUUUUAAGCCGUCUCAUAUAAAUGUUAUAUGCUUAAACGAUAAGUCCAAGGAAUAUGUAAUUAGGAGAAUGUAAUUUAAACAAGUUAGAUUCAUGAGACCAUUCUCUUUCGUAUACAUAUCCUAAACGUUCCUUAUCAUUGGAUUGCCAAUUGGGCAUUGACAAUCCGUUAAGAUCAGUACAUGUUAUGUCUUCUCUUAAAGAAAGUGACUAGUCUUGAGUCAUUGGUGUGAUUGACACCAAGACAAGCAUGUAGGUGCUCAAUAGAGAAUGAGUCCACUGAACACGAU